rnacentral:lncRNA from 1 species
CGGUACCUCAGAUGGAAAUGCAGAAAUCACCCGUCUUCUGCGUCGCUCACGCUGGGAGCUGUAGACGGGAGCUGUUGCUAUUCGGCCAUCUUCGAUGCCUGACAUUUUUAAGGCUAGGCUGGCAAACAAUCCAUGAAGACCGCCUCCAGAGAAGAGACUCAUAUUACGUCCAUGUUCUACGCUCUAUGCAAAUUUCAAAGCUACAUUUCUGGGACCCUUGGCAGGGUGCUCAGGCCAAGCGAGGAUACUGGGUAGAGUCACAAAUUACCCAUGUACUUCCUUUACAUUUGCUUCCACCAGGACUUUAAUUCAGUUUAAAUCAGUUCAAGGUGAAUAUCAAGGGAAACACUGAAGAGUAAAAGAAGUAACAAGAGAGUGUGGUGGGAGUUGUGUACCAAAAGGUAACAAAGACUGCUCUACCCAAUUGCCUUUGUGGAGUGAUGAUGCAUCUGUUGUGUGUGUGUAUGUGGGUUGUACUUUUUUCCUAUACUAUGUGUUGAAGAGGAGGGACUGGGCUGGCCAUUGAGGGAGUGGCCCAAUUGGCAUAUGCUGUGUGCACGGCCAUUCAGCAGGAGAGGGAAUAGCCAGUGAUGGAUCACCUUGACAACAGAGCCAGAAGGCUUCCAGGGUCUUCACAGGCUGGUGGCACCAUGCUAAAUAUACUGUAAUCUAAUACCUGCAACAUCUGUGCAGCCUCAGAAAACUGAUUUUGGCUACAGCUUGAGGAGGACUACCUUCUGAGACACAUUCACAUUAAAUAAAUUCAUAAGCCUGAUGAAGAUAAUUUGAAGGCCAAUUCAUUCUCUUCAGUUCUCUUCAAAGGCUGACAAUAUUUGCUCUACUCCACAUGAUCUUUCUGAACUGACCUCCUGCUACCCACCUCAUGCACCUUGCUUGAGCUACCCUGACCCCGUGCUCUUCCUCAAACACACCAGACAUGCUCACUCUAUCCAGGGUACUUUCCCUUAUUUAUCCUUACAUCUUGCUCCCUCAGCUCCUUUUGGACUUCUCAGUGAAGCUUUAUUCACAUCCUUGUUUAAAAUGCAACAUCAGAGGAGUCACAUCAGCAAGAUGACUGAAUCUGAGGUCCCAGGCUUCACUUUCUGCCACAGAUAUUUCAGCUAGCAAUUAUCCUCAGAUGAAAAGAACUUUGUGAAAACCCAAAAACUUAGGACUAAGACUGAGUGUAAACCAUAGAACUAAAUAAAAUUAUAUCAUAAGAUAAGAGGAAUGAUUUCACUUUGACUACAUCAUCAUUUCCCUCCUUCAAGACAACACGACACAUAGCGAAGAUCCCCUGAAUCGACAGUUUCCAUAGUGAGUAAAGAGCUCUGGAGGUAGUCAUCCAGCUUCUCAGUAUUCAGAGACACUUCUCAGGGAGCUCGCCCCCAUCUCACCUCAAAGGGAACACUAGGUGUAACAAUGGGACUAGACCACCUGGGAUCAGAUAGAAACACCAAAAGGAGGCUCAAGGAUCUUGAUGAUAGCCCUGUGUUUCUGCCGUUGAUGGCAUCCCAGCCAACAGCAGAGCUCACCCACAAAGCCAAGCUGGUGGAUCCCAGAAGUAUAGCAGGACGUUCAAGCUGGCUAGAGCCCUAGGCAGCCAGCCUCCAUACCCAGCCUUGGAGCCUACACCAGAUCCCCACCCAGGCAAGGAGACACCAGCCACAACACAUUUCUGUUGAGCGUAGG